AUUGAACGCUGGGAGCAGACUUAACACAUCCAAGUCGAGCGAGCGGCGGACGGGUGAGUAAUGUCUGGGAAACUGCCUGAUGGAGGGGGAUAACUACUGGAAACGGUAGCUAAUACCGCAUACCAUCAGAUGUGCCCAGAUGGGAUUAGCUAGUAGGUGGGGUAAUGGCUCACCUAGGCGACGAUCCCUAGCUGGUCUGAGAGGAUGACCAGCCACACUGGAACUGAGACACGGUCCAGACUCCUACGGGAGGCAGCAGUGGGGAAUAUUGCACAAUGGGCGCAAGCCUGAUGCAGCCAUGCCGCGUGUGUGAAGAAGGCCUUCGGGUUGUAAAGCACUUUCAGCGAGGAGGAGUUACUCGCACAAGAAGAACGUGCUAAGUCCGUGCGAGCCGCCGCGGUAAUAC
rnacentral:rRNA from 1 species